GACGAACGCUGGCGGCGUGCUUAACACAUGCAAGUCGAACGAUGAAGCUGGAGCUUGCUCCGGUGGAUUAGUGGCGAACGGGUGAGUAACACGUGAGCAAUCUGCCCUUGACUCUGGGGUAACUGCGGGAAACUGUAGCUAAUACCGGAUACGAGGCUCGAAGGCAUCUUCGGGUCUGGAAAGAAUUUCGGUCAAGGAUGAGCUCGCGGCCUAUCAGCUUGUUGGUGGGGUAAUGGCUCACCAAGGCGACGACGGGUAGCCGGCCUGAGAGGGUGACCGGCCACACUGGGACUGAGACACGGCCCAGACUCCUACGGGAGGCAGCAGUGGGGAAUAUUGCACAAUGGGCGAAAGCCUGAUGCAGCAACGCCGCGUGAGGGAUGAAGGCCUUCGGGUUGUAAACCUCUUUUAGCAGGGAAGAAGCGAAAGUGACGGUACCUGCAGAAAAAGCACCGGCUAACUACGUGCCAGCCGCCGCAGUAA
rnacentral:rRNA from 1 species